rnacentral:hammerhead_ribozyme from 1 species
GCACUGCUGACGAGUCCCAGACAAGAUGAAACAGCUGUCUAGUGC